rnacentral:misc_RNA from 1 species
GAAAGAGACCAACUCGAGAUGUUGGGAUUGUGGGGAAUGUCCGGACGACGCCGAGCAUGUCCUUUUCAAGUGCCCCAGAUGGAUGGAGGACAGCGCUGCACUCGAGAUCGAUUUGGGAAUCGAGUGGAGUGUCUCGUAAAAUAAAAAAAAAGGAGUAGCUCAGACGAAAAGAAAAAUAAAAUGUAACAAAAGAAAACAAGAGAAUUUAUUUCUUGAACUCUGAGUUUACACUGACUAUGAUUUGGUUCUGAGCUCCAGCCGUGACUUUCCAAGACUGAAGCUCUUACAAUUUGACUUUCGAACAUUCGGUGGAAGGACCGUUGGGAUAUCGACGACUCAUUAGGCACUUCGGCGAUAUACAUUGUCGCCAAGGCCGCCACAUCUUUAUCUCCAUCAUCGGUCCAUCGGAUUUGAAGGGUGCCGAUCGUGACAGGAACAUUGAAGCGGACAUCGUGGUGAAGAUGGCUGAGGAUGAUCGGUCGUGGCAGAAGUUCUCAGAGUUCUGUACGCGGGCGAUGGUCUUCAGGCAAAGGAAAGAAAAAGAGGUGGAGACGCGCGAUGGACGCUCCAGAGGAAUAGGAAGAGCAGGAAGAACGGUGUUAAGUACAUGAAGAUUGGUGUAGGGUACGUAGUGUAGAGGCCAACCUGAAGUAUUGUCGAAUGAUCGGGCCGGGUUGGAACCUCGAGUACCUUAGGAGUGAAAGGGGGAGGAGUUUUUAGUUUGUAUAGCAAUGACAUCUGCCGAGUUCCACAUAACCCACAUACAAA